UGAUCCUCCCUUGCAGGGCCCGGUAGAGAAGAGAACUCUGAGGCCCCCAUGGGGGAAUCACCUCCAGGGGUUAUUCCUGUGACCAAACAUAGCCUUGCUGGUCAGAAAGUUUGCACGGCAGGGGGCUGCUCCUCUGUAUUAGGUCCUUCUAGCAGAGCAGACUCACCCACAGGCUGGAAGAGACAAAGGGUGAUGCUCUUGGGCAGUUCUGGCUGGCUUCCCGGUGCUUCAAACUUAUGGUACAACUGGUUGAAUCUUCUCUAGAGGUGAAGACCAUGAAUGAAUCUUCCAGGCUGGAUGCACAAGGCAUGGGUGACAGCCUGGAAUCCUGAAUCUUGAUCUGGUUUUUAAAACGCUGCAAAGGCCGAUGUGCUUAGAUUUUUAUGUAUAUGAAGUCUUUACAAUUGCAGAAUUGGUAUUUCUUCACCUGUGCUUCAAAAAUAACUUUUUUUAAUUUAAAAACUGCGUGACUCAGCACCUGAUAUUGCCACAUGGUUAAACUAAAUCCGUUUAAGACAAAAAGAUUUUGACGAGAGAUCUACGUGUCACUAAUACAGGCAGGCUUCUGGCUGCUGUGCCUGUGGUAGAUGGAUCGAGCUAAGUGAUCGUGGGGUUACUCUCCUGGCACAUCAUUUCUACUCUCCGACAAAAUCCACCCGUCUAAGUUCCUCUCCCUGAAGGCUACAAAACCAGAAAGGCUUGGCUGAAUCUGUUUCGAAACACAAAUCCAGGAUUAGAGAAGAACUCUACUGUUUGGAAUAGUGGUGGACUCGAUUCUUUGGAAUAUCUUGGUGAGUGAAAUGAAGUCACCAGCAAUAUUUUCUCCACACUGGUCACCGUGGGAACCGAAAGCAGUGAAGCCCAGUGGACUGACAACUGAGACGAUGCAGAUGCCACAGUAUGGGGGUCUAGGGGGCCAUCCUAAGAUGGGUAACACUUUGCUCAGAAGCUGGGACACCUACUGCUUCCUGCCCAGAUACAUCCCUAAGUAAGGUGCUCAUUUCAACCCCUGUACACAAUUUAAAUUCUAUACCAUAAUAUAAGGAACGAGAAGCAUGAUUACUGCCUUUUAGAGGCCCCUCUAAAUACCACAGCAGAACCAGCCAGAUAGACAAAUCAUUUCACAAAAGAAACGCAGUAAAUGACAAAUAGGAAAUCAAAAGGGCCCAGGGUCU
rnacentral:lncRNA from 1 species